UACGGGGGGGGCAAGCGUUGUUCGGAAUUACUGGGCGUAAAGGGUUUGUAGGUGGCUUGCUAAGUCAGACGUGAAAUCCCUCAGCUUAACUGGGGAACUGCGUCUGAUACUGGCGAGCUUGAGUGCAGGAGAGGAACGCGGAAUUCCAGGUGUAGCGGUGAAAUGCGUAGAUAUCGAGAGGAACACCUGCGGCGAAGGCGGGUUGCUGGGCUGACACUGACGCUGAUGCGCGAAAGCCAGGGGAGCGAACGGG
rnacentral:rRNA from 1 species